AACGUAGGAGACAAACGUUAUCCGGAGUUACUGGGCGUAAAGGGCGUGUAGGUGGUUACGUAAGUCUGGCGUGAAAUUUCUCGGCUUAACCGAGGCAGGUCGUCGGAUACUGCGGGACUAGAGGACGGUAGAGGCGUGUGGAAUUCCGGGUGUAGUGGUGAAAUGCGUAGAGAUCCGGAGGAACACCAGUGGCGAAGGCGACUACCUGGCCUGUUCUUGACGCUGAGGCGCGAAAGCUAGGGGAGCAAACGGG
rnacentral:rRNA from 1 species